CGUGAGCAAUCUACCUUGGAGUGGGGAAUAACACAGUGAAAACUGUGCUAAUACCGCAUAAUACAACUGUGUCGCAUGGCAGUGGUUGUCAAAGAUUUAUCGCUCUGAGAUGAGCUCGCGUCUGAUUAGCUAGUAGGCGGGGUAAAGGCCCACCUAGGCGACGAUCAGUAGCCGGACUGAGAGGUUGGCCGGCCACAUUGGGACUGAGACACGGCCCAGACUCCUACGGGAGGCAGCAG
rnacentral:rRNA from 1 species